AUGGCCGAUGCGGGUCAAAGUGUUUUAUGUGUUGUUAUCUCCUUAAUAUCUGAUACGGCUUGUAUUUGGACCCUAGAUAUUAAACUUAAUUUUGCAAGUUGAUGCAGUGAUUGACGCCUGCUUCACCUCCGCCGCGGGUCGGCCCGGUAUUGCACUAUCUUCGGGAUUUUCGGUCUGUGGACA